rnacentral:misc_RNA from 1 species
UGCUGUUCUAAGAAAAUAUUUCACGGUGUAGUGAUCCACCUUAAUAGAGUUAUCGGACAUUGCUGAGGAUCAGAUAUUGUUCAAUUGUUAUACAUGUAUAUAUUUAACACAAGAACAAAUUUUUCUUUACAUCAAGGAACACGAAAAGUAUGGAUAUUUACCAAUGCAGCAUAUUCAACUUGUUACAACUUUAAGAAAUGAUCUUCAAGAGGUGGUAUGUACAUGUACCGGGUACUCCUGAAGAGCUUGGUCCUUUUUAAAGACAAUUAACAUUGGGUUUUUUUCUUUUUUAUCCCUUUUUGUACAUUCUCUUCCAGUCAAAUAGCAAGAAAAGAAAACUGGAGGAGGUAAAGGAGUCGGCCAAAAGGAGGCAGAAAAUGGUGGAUGAUGACAUGGAGAUUGUGGAGGAAUCUCCUUCACCAUCUGUUAACGGUCAUGUGUUCGUCCCACCACUCCCAGUAGAUACUCCACCCAGCAGACCACCCUUACCCCAAAACACCCCACCCCCAACUCCACCAGCCCCCAGGCUCAGUCUCCCAAAGGUAGCCAGGGAGAUCUCCUUGACCGAGUCGGAGAGAUCAGAAUCCCCUUCUCUGGAGGAGCUGGAGGGACAACUUAAACUGCUACAGGAAAAGUUAGCUUCAAGCGAGGGCGAUGCAGAUCUUCAAAUAUUGGACAGCUGUGGUGCCAGUGAUGAUGACAGUAACUCUGAUUUGUCUGAACUCUUGGCAUUAAAGGAGAGGAUUCUGAAGAGGACAGAUUCAAUUUCCUCUAUUCAGACCUUUGGUGAGCUAGGCUCUGGUGGAUCCUGUCCGGGCACCCCCCAACCUACCACCAACAAUGCAGCUAUGAACUCUUUUGGCAGUGUACCCAGUGCCUCGAUCUCCAAAGAUUUCGGUACUCCCAUUGUGAAGGGACCUAUUGAACUGUUACCGGACAGUUCCAAGUUUGGUGACGGAAUAGAGGAUCAUAUUCCGUACGAAAAUCUGCCGGAUGCCACGGGUACUUACGACAAAAUCAGAGAUCUCAUCAGUAGAGUGAGAACAAUAAAGAAGAAAAAGAAAAAAAUAGAUUAAGUGUGUAUUCAUCAUGCAUCAAUUUCGUACCAUUUUAUGUUUUGUACAUUUUCUGCAUAUAUAGUGACUAGUAUGCAUGCAUUAAGAAAACUUCUGAUCAACAAUAUUGGGAUAAUCAUUUACAGCAAUAAACAUUUAGAUUAGUGAUAUAGUAAAUGAGAGAAAAUAUUUAUACAAGGUAUUCAUGAGGCAUCAGCAAGUGCAGUUAAGACUGGCAUUCGAUCUUGAAAAGUUCUCUUUAUGGAUCAAACCCGUCCACAGGUUAUAGAUUAAUGUGUCUCUAUGUAUGACAAUGUAAAUCUUUGAAUUGCGACAAUUAAAUUUUUAAUGAAACC